rnacentral:rRNA from 1 species
AUACGGAGGGUGCGAGCGUUAAUCGGAAUUACUGGGCGUAAAGCGUACGUAGGCGGUUGGUUAAGUUAGAUGUGAAAGCCCCGGGCUUAACCUGGGAACUGCAUUUAAAACUGGCGAACUAGAGUUGAGUAGAGGGGAGUGGAAUUUCAGGUGUAGCGGUAAAAUGCGUAGAGAUCUGAAGGAACACCAGUGGCGAAGGCGACUCCCUGGACUCGAACUGACGCUGAGGUACGAAAGCGUGGGUAGCAAACGGGAUUAGAUACCCUAGUAGUCC